rnacentral:siRNA from 1 species
GAAGACGGACUGGGUAGAAAAAGC